GCUUACGGCCACACCACCCUGAGCACGCCCGCUCUUGUCUGAUCUCGGAAGUCAAGCAGGGUCGGUCCUGGUUAGUACUUGGAUGGGAGACCGCCUGGGAAUACCAGGUGCUGUAAGCAU
rnacentral:rRNA from 1 species